GCAAACUUGGUCAUUUAGAGGAAGUAAAAGUCGUAACAAGGUUUCCGUAGGUGAACCUGCGGAAGGAUCAUUAGUGAAUAUUAGCGCAUCUCCUUAAAAACGAGAGCGUGACCUCCACUUCUAACUCUGUGCAUUUUUUUUGGCGGUUUUUUAAAGGACGGGGUAACCUGAACUUUAUUGGCCGCGGCUCAUUUUAAAACACUAGUUAAAGUAUGUUUACGAAAUUAUCGAAACAAAAAAAAACUUUCAACAACGGAUCUCUUGGCUCUCGCAUCGAUGAAGAACGCAGC
rnacentral:misc_RNA from 1 species